GGAGGCGAAGGCGAUCUGGCUGCAGCAUCUGUCAGCCCAUGAUGGCCAGGGUGGAUUCAGGAGAUCUGACUGGCUAGGCAGGUGCCCCUUGCUCCCUCACCGCUCCAUGUGCAGACUCAGUUGAAGAGGACGGCUUUUCUGGACUUCAGUCAAGGACAUGCAAGGAGCUGUGCUCCCCUGCUAGAACCUCCACACGAGCUCUCAAGGCAAAACCCCGCUUCAUCUGUGAGCGUCUGACAUCUAGACGACAGGUUGUCUUUGUCAAGUACACGGUCAGGCACAAGGCAGACAUUUCU
rnacentral:snRNA from 1 species